CUUCCACGAAGGCUUAGAGAAGCAGCGGGCAUUAUGGGAAGGCAGGGGCUUUGGCUGUGUGAUAUCUGUUCUCUGCUCAACUUCCUCCUCUCCUGGUCUCAGAAUGGCCUUGUUUGUGAGACCAGUGGCUUUCAACCUGGCUGCACAAAGGGCCUUACCUGAGGAGCCUUUAAGAAAUACGGAUUCCACUGGAUUCCAGACACUGCCAUUUUCCCCUUUAAAGCCUUCAAUGAAUGAUUGUAAUGUGCAGCCAGGGCUGGGGCCCACUGGUUUGGGUGGUUCCCAAGGUCUCUGACUCUGUGGCUCAUUAAUUCCUCCUUGAACAUUCCUGGCUUCUUAGCAAACACCUCCAGGGAGCUGUCAAUUUGCAGGCCAUGGGCCCCAGAAGUUUCUAUACUAGGAGCCCACCUGGGCAGGGGCAGGCAGGACCUCAGGGUACAUCUGGUCCAGUUUGGUUUUAGAUAUGGUAAAAGUGCAGAAGAUUUUUCUUUCGUAGCUCACACAGGAGGUGCUUUGUAAAUAAAAAGUAUUGACAAUGUGGGAAACGACUCUUGUUACAGAUGGGACGGUUGAGGAUGAAGAACAACUUGCAGCCAGAAUUACAGCUCCUUUCUGUCUCCCCAGUUAGACUGUAACCCCCUUAUGAACAGGAAGCAGGGCUUUUUAAAAACUGUUCUGUUCUGUUUUAUCCUCUUGACUUAGCAAUAAGUGACCAUGUGGAUGGAUGGAUGGAUGGAUGGAUGGAUGGAUGGAUGGGGUCUUCUACCAGGUAUGUUUUCCUUCCUUAUUUUGAGUACUUGUCACUAGAUUCAGCUGUGGAUAACCUCGCUGUCAUCACCCCUGACACCAAAUGUGAAUAAUGGAGGGGCAGGGCUGAGGGAGGCAGUGGGGUAUUGAGAGAACCUGUUAGCCUUGGUGCUCAGGAGAGGGUCAUUAAUAAAGAGUAAGCAGCGGAGGCUGGUCCUGACAGGCCUCCUGUGAGCGGUGGGCCGGACUCCACGCCUAUGGUACCGUGCCAGAAGUUCACAGUUCCCUAUGUCCCAUCACAGACAGUAUCUAGGAAGGUCACGUCCUCAAAGGACCUCUUACCGAAAAGGUCAUUUCUAUCAAAAGAAGAAUGUGAACCUGAAGGCAUCAGGUGAGAGAAGAGGGACUCAGUGCUGGGUGAGGACAGGAGUUGGCACCCACGUCUCUUAUCUGUACAGCUCUAACAAACUCUUCGUUCUGCGAAGUACCCAAUACUCAACCAGCCAUUGAUUCUCUGAGCUCCCUCUAAGCUCAAAGGUUAAGACAAGACCUGUCUUCCAGGAACUCAGUGCCAUGGAGGAGAAGCUGCCAGGAAAAGAGUCAAGGCUGGUGAACCACUAGGAGGAAGUGUUUAGAAGGGCAGGGACACUGGAGGGCCCCACGGAGGCUCAGUGGGAACUCUUCAGGCACCCAGGCAUCUGCAUGCCUUCUUAAAUGCUCAGGGGAAUCGGUGGUGAGGACAGGUUUGGGAUGGAGAUCCUUUGGGUGGUGAAGGCAUUCCAGCGGGCACUGCAUGUGUAAGGGAGGUGAUCGACAUGGGAAACACACAGUCCAAUGUGUGUAGAAACCAGCUUAUUUGGGGAAAGAAGGAGAUGCAACAAGAGCAGGAGGAUGGAAUCGAAGGCCUUUUCGUUAGAAUGGUUGACAAUAAUUCCCCCAGGAAGCAGUAAUCCAUUUCAGUCCUCCUCACUCGGUGCUGAUUUGCCCAAGUUGCAGGGAGAUCUGGUGCCGAUUACCAGGUCUCGGUGCAUUAGGUAAUGAAACAAUAAAAUCUCGGUCACUGCAGCACAAAGUCCCCUUUAUUUUGACAAGUGUAGUUUUUGCUCUGAAGUGUUAUCAUAAAUAAUUAAAUUAAACCAGUAAAUGACUUGUAGUAUGCUUUGCUGAAGUAACAAAGUCUCUGUAACCCCAGACACCGAGCCACUCCUUUGGGGCAUUCUUGGCUCAGAAACAUUUGAGAAUGUUUCAGAAUUCAAGAAUAUUUGAACUAGCCAAGGGCAGAAGGCUCAUUCCAUUCCAUCCUGCUGCCCCCUAUCCCCCUGGGGUUCCCCCAUUCUGCUGCACCCCAUCCCAUCUACUUUGGGGGUGCCGGGGGUUGAACCCAUGGCUUUGCACAUGCUAGGCAAGUGCUCUAUUGAGCUGCACCCCCUAUCUUUGGACCCGCAGCAACGUGAAUCAGCAGUGGAUUGCUGCUCAGCCCUGGGCUGGCCUGGGGUAGAGAGUCUUGGGGUCCCAGUGCACAUACUUGGCAGUCUUUUCUUGAAACACCUGCUUAGGCACCAGGGCAUUCAUAAGUAGGCUCUUCCAGGCUUGGGGUGAAGGGCUCUGACUGUCAGGCACCCUCCACCUGCUACUUCCGUCAUUCUGUAGACAAGGAAACUGAGGUGCAGAGAAGCGAGGUGGCUUGACCUAUUUCUUGACUGAUGGAGAGGAAAGAACUCCAGGUGGGGUAUGAGUGGAGAAGUCUCGGAGACCCAAAGGGACAAGGUGCUGGGUGUACAGGGGCUGCAGGUUAGCAGAGGAGAAGGGUGAGGAGGGAGGAAGGAAAAAGUAUGGUAAGAAGCAGGAGUGAGGGUAGCCUAGAACCCAGUUCUCAGGAGGAAACACUGAAGAACUAUCUGUAGAGCCCUCAGCCAGCCAGGCCUCCAGCCCCGCAGGAGGACAGCUAUUGAACUAAGUGAGAGAAAAGGGAGAUCUUUGCUGUGGAGAAGAAACAAAGAUGCUAGAGAGAAAGCCCAGGGGCACAGCAUGCUGGCUAAAAGCAGGGAGAUUUCGCCCCUCCUGCAGGCGAGCUGGACAGCCUUCUGCCUCCUCUCCCGUGGCCUCCUUCGCUUGGUCAUUGCCUUGCCAGCUACCUUCCCAAGCAUCUGCUUCCCUCAUCUUUGUUAGGGCUCUCAGACAAGGUGGCAGCUGGAGGCCAUACUGCAGAGGGGCAGUACCCUGGCCUCAGAACUCUGAGCAGGAAUGACUCCGUUCUUAGAAACUGACCUCACAGCAAGAGUUCCAGGCCCUAGGCGGGGCCUCAGUGCUGAACCAGCCCUGGGGAGACAGUAAUCACAGAAUCCUAGACAGAGAAGCCUCUAGAACUCGGACGAGCCCAUCAGAGCGAGGGCACUCCUUGGGCUGGCUGUUUUCUGUAGUACCGUGAGUGGAAAGGAAAAUAUGUUUUUCUAACUCCAUGGAACUCUGGACUGUGUAAACAAUAGAGACAGAGCUUGGAACAAAAAUCACCUAUAGGGUAGACAGCAGCACCAGAAAUCCCUAUGGGGAAGAGGCCAAGGCUGUGCUGGCCUGAGGAGACGUUUGACAGACAGCACUCAGCUCAGAAGCCAGUGAACUGCAGUGGGGUGGGCUUUGGCCCCAGCACCAUUGGCCGUCAUGGCUACUGCUUCUCCGGACACCCCAGCAUCCCUCACAAGGGGCACAGACCAAGGAGGGGAAGUGAGCACAGCUCCCCCCGGAACCCCCGGCAGACCUGUGCCCCUGGGAAGCUGUCAGCAAAUAUUAACUACCUACUACGUGCUGGGCACCAGAAACGCGCCGUGUGCCAAGUCAGUUGUUGGAGACGGAAAAAUAAUGGAAUCUCCAUUCAAGGAUCACAUCAACGGGCAGUCUUCACCUCAGCCCCAUCCACGGAUCUUUCUCCACCUCCUCUCAUCAUCUGCCCAGCCCCAUUCCAGAUCAGCUGCCCCAGGAGAAGUUUGAUGCGGCAGCUGCCUGUGACUCUUGAACACUUACAGCCCGUCUGAAAUAAGAUUUGGAAGAUUCGGCUUGAAAAGGAGUCAUAUAAAAAUACUUUAUUAAUAGUUUUAUAUUGAUUACAUGUGGAAAUGAUAAUA